UACGGAGGGUGCAAGCGUUGUCCGGAUUUAUUGGGUUUAAAGGGUGCGUAGGCGGCCCUGUAAGUCAGUGGUGAAAUACUGCAGCUUAACUGUAGCAUUGCCAUUGAUACUGCAGGGCUUGAGUACAGAUGAGGUAGGCGGGAAUUGAUGGUGUAGCGGUGAAAUGCAUAGAUACCAUCAAGAACACCGAUUGCGAAAGGCAGCUUACUAAGCUGUAACUGACGCUGAGGCACGAAAAGCGUGGGGAGCGAACAGG
rnacentral:rRNA from 1 species